rnacentral:rRNA from 2 species
UACGGAGGGUGCAAGCGUUAUCCGGAUUCACUGGGUUUAAAGGGUGCGUAGGAGGGCAGGUAAGUCAGUGGUGAAAUCUCCGGGCUCAACUCGGAAACUGCCGUUGAUACUAUCUGUCUUGAAUAUCGUGGAGGUGAGUGGAAUAUGUCAUGUAGCGGUGAAAUGCUUAGAUAUGACAUAGAACACCAAUUGCGAAGGCAGCUCACUACACGUAUAUUGACUCUGAGGCACGAAAGCGUGGGGAUCAAACAGG